rnacentral:rRNA from 1 species
GUGGGGAAUCUUCCGCAAUGGACGAAAGUCUGACGGAGCGACGCCGCGUGAGUGAAGAAGGCCUUCGGGUCGUAAAGCUCUGUCAUCAGGGACGAACGGCCGGUGGAGUGGAAAGCCACCGGAUUGACGGUACCUGAGAAGGAAGCCACGGCUAACUACGUGCCAGCAGCCGCGGUAAUACGUAGGUGGCAAGCGUUGUCCGGAAUUAUUGGGCGUAAAGCGCGCGCAGGUGGGAUCUUAAGUCCAUUUUGAAAGUUCGGAGCUCAACUCCGUGAUGGGAUGGAAACUGGGAUUCUUGAGUACCGGAGAGGAAGGCGGAAUUCCCCGUGUAGCGGUGAAAUGCGUAGAUAUGGGGAGGAACACCAGUGGCGAAGGCGGGUUCCUGGCCCAUGACUGACGCUGAGGUGCGAAAGCCGGGGGAGCGAACGGGAUUAGAUACCCCGGUAGUCC